rnacentral:tRNA from 1 species
GGUGUCGUUAGAUCGCAUGGAAAUGGGGCCUGUGUGAGAGGUCAGAGAGGAUCAGACGGGUUUCAGACUGGUUUCAGGCCAGCGCGGAACCG